AAACACCAAAAACAUAUAGACGGGUAGGUCGGAAUGUCCGCUGAAGAUUGACAGAUGCACCAAAGUCACCUCUCAAAACCUCCAAUAUGUCUAUUCAUAUUCCAACUCCCUCCUCCUCGCUCUCCUUCCUCCCCAAGAAACCAUGUCUCUUAGCCCAUUGAUGUUGCGGUCACUGGUGAGGCUACUAACAUCACUGGUUCGUGAUCCGGCUGCUUCAGUCACAACCCUUCUUUACCACAGUGAGCUUCUACCUCAGAAUAUCGUGCUAGAGAGAUUAGUUCGACACGAAUUGCUUGACCAAGAAAACUAUUUGUUCCACUUCCUGGUCAGCUUUCUGAGAUGUUUUUGGUAAGAGUAGCUAUAUAGGACUUGGUAGUUCCAAUACAGGAGCUGGCAAUUUUAUAGUAAUCGCAUACCAUUAGACAUUAGUUAGUUCUGAGUUUUUGGAAUUGAAAUUGCUCUGUCUUCAAAUCUUAAUGAGAAAAGUAUCCUCGCUCUUGUAAUGUUGGUGAGA